AGAUAUCUGAGUCAGACACUCUUGUCCACCGAGCGAUUCUAUUGGUUUAAGAUGAGCUGCGUAUGAGGUAAUAAAGCCUUCUGGAGGGGGUGGGGAGGCACAGGGGGCGUGGCCAAUGUCUUCUGUCCAGCAGUUGUAUCCCAGAGCAGAUAAGUGGGGUGAGGGAGGGAGAGUGGGGGAGCCAAGAGAGAGAGAGACAGAGACAGAAUAGCUGUAUGUAUAUACGAGAAAGAAUAGAAAGGGAUCUGAAAAAUAGGGUUCUGGUUGUGUAUUUCUGUGUAAGAGAGAAAGGGAGAGAGGAAGAAAAGACUGAAAAGGAAAAAGGG